rnacentral:misc_RNA from 1 species
AAAAAUAAAAUAAAAAUAAAAAAUUUGACAAUUGGAAAACAAUGUACAAACAAAGAAGUCUUGCAACUUUGAUUGGAAUCUCACAAACACUCAAGGUAUAAGGUGGAGGAAUUUUCAAUAUGAAUUCUCCGUCAUAUAAAGAACAAUAAAGAGUCAUACUAGUGCUUCUAAUUCACAAACCAUUCUCAUUAAUCCCCAAAAGACAACUGAUCUCACCA